rnacentral:rRNA from 1 species
GAUGAACGCUGGCGGCGUGCCUAAUACAUGCAAGUCGAGCGGACGGACGCGACGCUUGCUGCUUUGAUGUUAGCGGAGGGCGGGUGUGUAACACGUGUAUCCCCUCCCUAUCUUUCUGGGAUCACUUCGGGAAACCGGCUCUAAUACCGGAGAAUAUUUUGCUCCGUAUGGUUCAAUGGAGAAAUACGGUCUUUCUGUCACUUCUCGAUGGAUCCGCGCUGCAUUAGCUAGUUGGUACGUUAACGGCUUACCAAGGCAACGAUGCGUGGCCGACGUGAGAGGGUGGUAGGCCACACUGGAACUUAGACACGGUCCAGGCGCCUGCGGGACGCAGCAGUAGCGAAUGGGCCGCAGUGGGCGAAAGCCUUACGGAGCGGCGGCGCGUGAGUGAUGGAGGCCUUCGGAGCGUGAUACUCUGUUAUUAGUUAUGAACAGAUGUGUACUGAACUGAGGAGAGCUUGACGGUACCUAAUCAGAAAGCCACGGCUAACUACGUG